UACGUAGGGGGCAAGCGUUGUCCGGAAUCAUUGGGCGUAAAGCGCGUGUAGGCGGCCCGGUAAGUCCGCUGUGAAAGUCCAGGGCUCAACCCUGGAAUGCCGGUGGAUACUGUCGGGCUCGAGUCCGGAAGAGGCGAGUGGAAUUCCUGGUGUAGCGGUGAAAUGCGCAGAUAUCAGGAGGAACACCUGAGGCGAAGGCGGGCUACUGGGCCGAUACUGACGCUGAUGCGCGAAAGCCAGGGAGCGAACGGG
rnacentral:rRNA from 1 species